UCUCUCGGUCCUUUCUUGUGCAUCCUCUAUCUCUCUCUGUCUCUCUCGGCCCUCUCUCUCUCACGCAUCCUCUCCCUCUCUCAGUCUCUCUCGCAUCCUCUCUCUCUCUCUCUCCUCAGUGAUCGGGAACCCAAUUUUCGGCGUGGACUCGGGAUCGGGGCUCCAACUCAAACUCCUCUCGUUCUCUUCCUCAAAGCUCGAAAGUUCGUACAUCGUACAUAUCCAGUGAUGGCACCAGGUGGGAGACGUCAUUCGCGCACUGGAUCUGCCCCUUCCACCCGUGAUGCGGCGGAGAUAGCAUCGCCGUCACAUGUUGCAUCACAGGCGUCUGAUCCCUCAAUCGUUCAUACACCGAGCACUACAUCAUCGUCGACCAGCCGACGAGGACGUGGACCCACGCGUGGGUUAGUUUUAAAAAGACUUACGCGUGAGGGUAGGGUGACAGUAGAGUUCCCACAGGACUGCCUUAGACCUGUUGGGGACAAUGCUAGGUUGUUUACAUCGGAGGUCGGUGUCUUAUGUCGAUCUCUGAUCCUUACCACCACCCCCCGUUGGGCAGACGUGACAGAUAAUGUGCGGCAGCACAU